AGUUGGUUGUAGAGCACAUGAAAACUCCACAGUUAAGUGUGCUCGGGUGGGAGCAAUACCAGGGUGGGUGACCUCCUGGGAAGACUCCAUCAGACAACCA
rnacentral:rRNA from 2 species